rnacentral:tRNA from 1 species
GAAGGUAGAGCUCAAGUGGUAGAGCAUGUGCUUAGCAUGCACAAGGUCCUGGGUUCAGUUCCCCAGUACCUCCU